GAAAUACCUGUAAAAUGAGAAGAAAGGAUAUUUGGACGUGGAUGAGCAAAAUACAUCAGAGGUAGAGGAGGAAGAUGUACAUAUUAACCAGAGGCCAAAAGCAGCUAUAGAGCGACCGCCAGCAAAAAGACAAUCGAUGGCCUCUCAAAAACAUUUACUUAAUUUGGCAUGUGAGUAUUUACAACGCUCAGAUGAAUAUGAAAACAUCGGAAUAACAUGGGAGAAUGAAUUAAAAAAAGAUGAAUUCGGAGCAACAAAUUUAUGCAAAAAAAGCGAUCAACGAUAUUUUGUAUGAAGGACAGUUAGCUUUUCAACACCAACCUCAGCAGCUAGAAAGGUCCAAUUGGUCAUUUGUAACUACUACACCACUCGUCACCGCUGUCACCGCAACCGACAUUUCCACAAGGGCAAACGGAG